GACCCCUCCGCCCGGUCCGGUGCCCCGUGCGGUCUGUCUGACGGAGCCCCCGCUCGAGGGCUCGCCUCGGGGCUAGUGCGUACUUCAUCACACCACAGCCUCUACCCGCUCUCUGCAGUCACGCAUACGGUUUGGGAAGGUUCUAUCAGUUACAGCCUUCUGUAGAGAGCUUCUUGUUUUACUUCGUGGACUGAGAUUAUUAAGAGACAGAGUGAUAAAUGAGCUGGAGGAACUAAAGGCUGGUCACUCCCCACCUGAGGUGCAGGUGUUUCCUGAAGCCCUGCUCACAUCCCCAAAUAGAGCUGGCUCCUCUGUCAUCUUGUUCAUGUACAGCAGUUCCAGGGGAUUACACAAACCCUGAUCUGUGGAACUGAGAAAUCCUGAUUUGCUACAGCUUUCUCUGGAUUCAAACGUGGGAUAACAGUAAUUGGCCAUGAUGCUUUUUUCGCCCAGUAUUACUCCAAUUUGUGUUCUUGUGCAGCAGUUAAGAUUCAGUUUGAUCACUGGCUUUGGGUUUUGAAAAGGUCUGUACAAACCCUCUAGUGGUGCCUUCCCUUCCCACAUCUGUGAUUUUUCUCCUGUCAUAAAGCUGCUUGACUGGUACACUUUGCUAGGGAGAAUAAAAAGCUAUUGGUAGCCAAACUGUUGGAUUUUAUUUUUGUAACUAAUAUGUAUCUACAUUCUAAAAAAGUAGAUGGUGUAUACAUCCAGCAGUUGAAAUAAAAGAUAUUUUCUUCUGUCUAAUCUUUGGUAUUUCUGUCAUAUUUGAUUGUUUUAGUUAUAUGUAAUUGCUAUAUUGUUAUUAAAAAUAAAAGUUCAAGUAGACUACUUGAAGGUAGUUUUUGUCCUUCAG
ensembl:lncRNA